rnacentral:rRNA from 1 species
UACGAAGGGUGCAAGCGUUGCUCGGAAUUAUUGGGCGUAAAGGGUAGGUAGGUGGUGACAUUUGUCUGGGGUGAAAUCCCUGAGCUUAACUCAGGAAGUGCCUUGGAAACGGUGUCACUAGAGUGCUGGAGAGGUUCGCAGAAUUCUUGGUGUAGCGGUGAAAUGCGUAGAGAUCAAGAGGAAUACCAGAGGCGAAGGCGGCGAACUGGACAGUUACUGACACUAAACUACGAAAGCGUGGGGAGCAAACAGG